rnacentral:rRNA from 1 species
CGGGAGGCAGCAGUGGGGAAUUUUCCGCAAUGGGCGAAAGCCUGUACGGAGCAACGCCGCGUGAGGGAUGAAGGCCUCUGGGCUGUAAACCUCUUUUAUCAAGGAAGAAGAUCUGACGGUACUUGAUGAAUAAGCCACGGCUAAUUCCGUGCCAGCAGCCGCGGUAAUACGGGAGUGGCAAGCGUUAUCCGGAAUUAUUGGGCGUAAAGCGUCCGCAGGCGGCCCUUCAAGUCUGCUGUUAAAAAGUGGAGCUUAACUCCAUCNUGGCAGUGGAAACUGUUGGACUUGAGUGUGGUAGGGGCAGAGGGAAUUCCCGGUGUAGCGGUGAAAUGCGUANAUAUCGGGAAGAACACCAGUGGCGAAGGCGCUCUGCUGGGCCAUCACUGACGCUCAUGGACGAAAGCCAGGGGAGCGAAAGGGAUUAGAUACCCCUGUAGUCCUGGCCGUAAACGAUGAACACUAGGUGUCGGGGGAAUCGACCCCCUCGGUGUCGUAGCCA